rnacentral:lncRNA from 13 species
CUGGAAUUGGUUAAGUAGUCCCUUGACUGAUUCUUAAGUGCCUUCAUGACUAAUUUUCCACACGAGACUUUCUUAUUACCAAUAGUUGGGGGAAAAAAUGAGAAAUGCCAAUUAAGCAAAAACUUCAAAGUGCAUUGUGAUGAUAAACUGGGAAGAGGCAUUUGACAGAGGUUCUGAAGGCUCUUACAUAAAGUUUCUAGGCCUCAAGAUUAUUCUUAUGAAAAAAUUGAUGUCAACACAGAGAAAAAACUUCCUUAGAUCUACAAAGUCUGCC